rnacentral:rRNA from 1 species
AUAACAGUUGGAAACGACUGCUAAUACCGCAUAAGCGCACAGGAUCGCAUGAUCCGGUGUGAAAAACUCCGGUGGUAUGAGAUGGACCCGCGUCUGAUUAGCCAGUUGGCAGGGUAACGGCCUACCAAAGCGACGAUCAGUAGCCGACCUGAGAGGGUGACCGGCCACAUUGGGACUGAGACACGGCCCAAACUCCUACGGGAGGCAGCAGUGGGGAAUAUUGCACAAUGGGGGAAACCCUGAUGCAGCGACGCCGCGUGAGCGAAGAAGUAUUUCGGUAUGUAAAGCUCUAUCAGCAGGGAAGAAGAAUGACGGUACCUGACUAAGAAGCACCGGCUAAAUACGUGCCAGCAGCCGCGGUAAUACGUAUGGUGCAAGCGUUAUCCGGAUUUACUGGGUGUAAAGGGAGCGCAGGCGGUGCGGCAAGUCUGAUGUGAAAGCCCGGGGCUCAACCCCGGUACUGCAUUGGAAACUGUCGUACUAGAGUGUCGGAGGGGUAAGUGGAAUUCCUAGUGUAGCGGUGAAAUGCGUAGAUAUUAGGAGGAACACCAGUGGCGAAGGCGGCUUACUGGACGAUAACUGACGCUGAGGCUCGAAAGCGUGGGGAGCAAACAGGAUUAGAUACCCUGGUAGUCCACGCCGUAAAC